rnacentral:rRNA from 1 species
UGGGGAAUAUUGCACAAUGGAGGGAACUCUGAUGCAGCGACGCCGCGUGAGUGAUGAAGGAAUUCGUUUCGUAAAACUCUGUUCUAUGGGAAGAAAAGGACUGUACCAUAGGAGAAAGCUCCGGCUAAAUACGUGCCAGCAGCCGCGGUAAUACGUAUGGAGCGAGCGUUGUCCGGAAUUAUUGGGCGUAAUGGGUGCGCAGGCGGCUUUACAAGUUGGAUGUGAAAUAUUGUGGCUCAACCACAAACGUGCAUCCAAAACUGCAAAGCUUGAGUUAAGGAGAGGUAAGUGGAAUUCCUGGUGUAGCGGUGGAAUGCGUAAAUAUCAGGAGGAAUACCGGUGGCGAAGGCGACUUACUGGACUUAAACUGACGCUCAGGCACGAAAGCGUGGGGAGCAAACAGG